rnacentral:lncRNA from 1 species
GGCCCGGAAGCAGUGAGGAGGACCUUGGCAGUGGGCCUUCCAAGUGAGGGGACCAUGAAGCCAAGACUCCCCUUUAUUCUAGGGACACUGGGCUGGCUCGGGGCCUGUGUCUUCCGGCCUGUGACCCAGGCUGCCUCACAGAUCUAGACCGGACUCUCCCAUGGAGCCCAGUUGCCAUCACCACCACACAGAGGGCCUUCGUCUGAAGGUAGAGCUAGUUGGGAGGCUCUCAGAGUCCUUAACCCACAAGAGAUGGGUCUGAGGUCUUCCAGCAUCUCUCCUGCCACUUUGUUUGAAGUGGGGGCUUGGACCCUUGUAAUCCUUACUCGUCUCCCCACCCUCUGUGCAGCCUCCUGAAGGGCAGAUCCUUCAGCAAUUCCCAGCAAUUUGGUCCUUAGUUUGCAUCCUUUCUAGGUGGUUUCUUUUCUUUUUUCUUAUUGAAAUAUAGUUAAUUUACAAGGUUGUGCUAAUUUCUGUUGUACAACAAAGUGACCCAGUCACACAUAUACACAUGUCUCUCUCAGAUUCUUUUCCCACAUAGAUGAUCACAGCACACUGGGUGGAGUGCCCUGUGCUCUACAGCAGGUUCCCGUUGGCCCAUCAUUCCGUCUACCUUAGUGUGCAUAUGCCAGCCCCCGACUCCCAGUCUACCCCCCCCACGCCCCCAUCUAGGUGGUUUUAUACAAUUCUCAUUUCCCGCAGCUACUCAGAGCUUCUCCAGCCUUCCGCUCCAGUCUUUGCCACCAUCCUUCCUGCCACUCCCUCUUGCAUUCAGACUCGCUCCACCUACAAACACUUUUAAGGCUCCACUCAGCCCUCUCUCCUCACGGAACCCUUUCUGACUUGCCCAGGGAGCAGCCAUGCCUUCCUCAGAGCCCCUGCCCCAUCGGGCACACACCUCUGUUACAGCACCUGGCACUCCCUGCCCCAUUUGUCAGCUUUCUCACUGGCCUCCCCCCAUCAGACCAAGCUCUUUGAGGGCACAGACUGUCUCUCUUCGCUGUGGAACCCCAACUACCCAGGAGGGAGGCACCGGGAAAGCUUAUUCCUGCUUCGGGGAACACUAUGAAGCUUGCAACUGCUGGCCGAGGGAGCUUCGGGGCCUGAGAAAGCUUGGAAAGAAGGCUAGUGCUGCCAUUGACAGUGACUGCCAGCAGGUAUGUCCCAUUAUCUCCCAGGGCCUCAGCUGUCUCCUCAGUGAACUGGGCAUAGUGAUGCCCACUUUGCAGAGAGGCAGUGAGGACUGAAGACCAUCACGUGAGUGCAGUGCCUCGCACACAGAGUCCUCCUCUCUCCUCCACCGCCCUUUCCCUCACUGUUUCAUGUUUCCGUCUAGGAAAACAGGUGAAUAAGAUCCUGUCCCUUAAAAAAGUUAGGCGACAGGGAAUUCCCGUCAUGGCUCAGGAGUUACAAACCUGACUAGGACCCAUGAGGAUGUGGGUUCGAUCCCUAGCCUCGCUCAGUGGGUUAAGGAUCUGGCGUUGCCGUGAGCUGUGGUGUAUGUCACAGAAGUAGCUCGGAUCCUGUGUGGCUGUGCCUGUGGGUGGCAGCUGCAGCUUUAAUUUGACCCCUAGCCUGAGAACUUCCAUAUGCUGCAGGUGCAGCCCUUAAAAAAAAAAGACCAAAAAAAAGAAAGAAAGAAAGAAAGAAAGAAACUUAGGUGACACAAUAGGGCCAAAGAAACACGUGGCUGGGGAGUUCAAGAUGUGGCUUUACCUCUCUGUCUCUUAAUGGAGGUAAUAACACCUACCCUUUCUCUCGAGUUUGUAGGAAGAUGAAAUAAGACAACUCCGGUAAAGC